rnacentral:rRNA from 1 species
CGUGAGUAACCUGCCCCUGACUUCGGGAUAAGCUUGGGAAACUGGGUCUAAUACCGGAUGUGACUACUGGCCGCAUGGUCUGGUGGUGGAAAGGGUUUUACUGGUUGGGGAUGGACUCGCGGCCUAUCAGUUUGUUGGUGGGGUAGUGGCCUACCAAGACGACGACGGGUAGCCGGCCUGAGAGGGCGACCGGCCACACUGGGACUGAGACACGGCCCAGACUCCUACGGGAGGCAGCAGUGGGGAAUAUUGCACAAUGGGCGGAAGCCUGAUGCAGCGACGCCGCGUGGGGGAUGAAGGCCUUCGGGUUGUAAACUCCUUUCGACAGGGACGAAGCGUAAGUGACGGUACCUGUAUAAGAAGCACCGGCUAACUACGUGCCAGCAGCCGCGGUAAUACGUAGGGUGCGAGCGUUGUCCGGAAUUACUGGGCGUAAAGAGCUCGUAGGUGGUUUGUCGCGUCGUCUGUGAAAUUCCGGGGCUUAACUCCGGGCGUGCAGGCGAUACGGGCUGACUUGAGUGCUGUAGGGGAGACUGGAAUUCCUGGUGUAGCGGUGAAAUGCGCAGAUAUCAGGAGGAACACCGAUGGCGAAGGCAGGUCUCUGGGCAGUAACUGACGCUGAGGAGCGAAAGCAUGGGUAGCGAACAGGAUUAGAUACCCUGGUAGUCCAUGCCGUAAACGGUCGGGCGCUAGGUGUAGGGGGCUUCCACGUCUUCUGUGCCGUAGCUAACGCAUUAAGCGCCCCGCCUAGAGGAGUACGCCGCAAGGCUA